rnacentral:rRNA from 1 species
UCGGGGGCAUCAGUAUUCAAUUGUCAGAGGUGAAAUUCUUGGAUUUAUUGAAGACUAACUACUGCGAAAGCAUUUGCCAAGGAUGUUUUCAUUUAUCAGGAACGAAAGUUAGGGGAUCGAAGACGAUCAGAUACCGUCGUAAUCUUAACCAUAAACUAUGCCGACCAGGGAUCGGACGAUGUUAUUUUUUGACUCGUUCGGCACCUUACGAGAAAUCAAAGUGCUUGGGCUCCAGGGGGAGUAUGGUCGCAAGGCUGAAACUUAAAGAAAUUGACGGAAGGGCACCACCAGGGGUGGAGCCUGCGGCUUAAUUUGACUCAACACGGGGAAACUCACCAGGUCCAGACACAAUGAGGAUUGACAGAUUGAGAGCUCUUUCUUGAUUUUGUGGGUGGUGGUGCAUGGCCGUUCUUAGUUGGUGGAGUGAUUUGUCUGCUUAAUUGCGAUAACGAACGAGACCUUAACCUGCUAACUAGCCCGUAUUGCUUUGGCAGUACGCUGGCUUCUUAGAGGGACUAUCGGCUCACGCCGAUGGAAGUUU